GAGGUGCAUUGGGAUAUUUUUGGCAUAAAAGCUAAGUGGAAACAUAUCGUGUAAGUGUUCUCAAAAUGGGAAGCUCUCAAGAACAUACCUUAGAUCUGGAUAGAGAAUAUAGUGCUCUGACGUCACCUCAGCUGUAUUUACUGCAACCUUCAGCUUUUUCUCCCUUCUCUUUUGUCCAGUUGUGAUAGGAAAUUCUAGGAUGCUGUCAGAAGUGCACGGAUAUGCCUAAGGAGCUAAUAUGUAUCAGACAAACAAAAUACGGAUGAGUGUAAAAAGAAAAAAAAAUACAAAAAUAGCGUAAAAAGUUUUACAAGCAGAAUUGAUAACGCCACAGUAAGAAAUAAGGAAAAAGGAAUAAAUUUUGCUGGUAGAAGACUGUUUCUUUGCUUCCCAGGAGUUCACAUAUCCCAGAAAAAUCACAGUAAAUAGAUAAAAUGAGCAUUUCACAUCUAACAGGUUGACAUCACAGAGGUGAUCUGUGUCAGAAAAAACCUAUUCAUGGAUAAAGACACACAUCUGUGUGUCACACAUAACAAAACUAAAUUGGCUCCUCACACUGUGCAGUUUUAAAAUAAUGUUAGUAGCAGAAACUGACUUCAGACUUGAAUUUGAUGGUUAUUUCAGUAAAGGCCAUAUAUUUGUGUAGCAAGUGUGUGGUUCAGUGAGUAGUUGCACAUUUCUGUAGCACCCAGAGACCCUUGUUGGAUAUCCCAGAGCUUCCUUCAGGAGAGAGAGACCCAGCCUGUAGUUUUCUCUAGUACCAAUCUGUCUAUAGUGUCUCUCUGCUACUGUCUCUCUACUACUACCCAGCCUGUGAUUUCUCUCUAGUUUCCCUGUGGUUUCUCUCCUCACCAGUUCUUCACUUGUCCUGUUCUUCCCAGGAGGUGUUGGACAGAUACGUUAAGCUUCAGGAGUCUAACUGUUGUCAUCUGCCCAUGGACAGUUCUUCACAAGGGCAUGGGACAGGGCAAGAGACUGCAAAAGUCCAUCCCAUUGGGGGUUUGGCUGAAGAGAUUCACAGCUUGUCCUGGGCACAGCCCUCUCAAACCUGUAAGAGCUCUAGUUGUUGGAAGGGCUCUGAUCUGUCUGUGUAAUUAUAUUGGUGUUUCCAGGAGGUAAUGUUUGGGUGUUGAAUCUUGAAGGUGACAGUGGAUGAAAAUCUUUUCUUAAAUGAGGAGGAAAAGUAAAAUUUGGCUUUAUAAAGGACAAAAAAAUGUAUUCUCUAUGAGUUCUCUUUUCAUCAGAAAAUAAGGAAUAAGAUCAAAGGACUGUGUUUCAUCAUUCCCCUAUAAUGCCAAGUGGUCCACUUUCCUGCUAAGGAGGGAAAAGAUACAGUCAGGCUGUUGUUUAGUUUCAUUUUAUCAGUAUAAUAGUCAUGCAGUGCAAUAGGAGAAUAAAUGAUGCGGUGUGCAAGUGCAAGGGGACACCAGCUUACAGGCAAGCUUAGUCACAGUGUCAAAGAUGGAAGAAUGUGACCUCCACUGCAGUGUUUUAUCUGCUGUACAGAUAAAUGCAUCUCACCCAAGAAGCCUUUCAGGCAGAGCUCUGAGGAAAUUCCUCAUCAAGGAAGGAAUGCCCAGAGGAGAGAUAAAGAGGCCUAGAAGGUCCCCCUAAUGCCAUUAUCCCAUUGUCCCAGCAGCAGGUGAGUGAGGCUCUUUUGUCUUCAGGAGGAGACCCCUGUGGAUUGGGACUGAGCCCAGUGACUGUUUAGAAAUGCCUUGGCACUACUGAUGUUAUCAAGAAUGGCAGAGUUCAGAGCCAGCAGGUGCUAAAACACCACCCUGAAAAUUAAAUUGGAAUCUGGAGUGGAUUUAGAGAGUCGAUUAGAUUGGGGGGAUCCUCCAGAGGUCAUCUAGUCCAAUCUCUUGCUCAAAAGAGUGUGAGCUUCAGGCUAAGAUGAGGUUGUUUAGGGCUUUGUCCAAGUGAGUUCUUGAACAAAGCCCUAAACAACACAGUGCCAGCCCCUGCAUGUGCACAUCAGUAGGUAAAGGAAACACAUUCCCUCUGUCACCAGCAGCAAUAUGCUUCCAGUCACUGCUGCUGAGGGAUCCCCAUCCCUCACAAGCUUGGCUGUCACCCUGAGAUGCCCACCCUUUGCCUGCAGUUUCUGCCAAGCCUCUGUAUCCCCAUCUGCUUUCCCAAAGGCUUGGUGACACAAGCAGGCUGUAGGGAAGACACCCACAGCCACCCCAAAAGGCACCCAGCUCUGCCUGUCUGGAUAGACACAUCCCCCUCAGGAGCCCUGUCCCAUAACUGGGAACCAGGCUGUGAAGCUGCUCUGUGUGUUCUGCCCCUCUGGCAGUUUCUCAUCGUAUUUUGUGGCUCCUGGCCGAGCCAGCAGACAUUUGCAGUGUGAAACUGCAUAAGCCAUGAAAUCCUUCCUCCCUCCUUCUACCCCGAGCAGGGUCAAUGCACCUGGGAGACCUUUACAGCUGCAGGUAGGAAAUGGCAAAACGUUUAAGAAAAAUGGACCACUGAGAUUGUGUCUUAGUACUGUCACAUUCUUCCUCUGGCCUGAGCAAGCACUGUCCUGCUCUGCUAGUACCCAGCCAGAAUAAUUUCCCUAGACUGUUACCUCUUGAUUUGUCUAUUUGCAGCUUACCUCUGGAUCUCCACUAAGUAUGAUUUACUUAUCUUUGGCUUUCCCAUCUAAACCUAUCAUAUUUAUAAGUUACCUUUCAGUACUGGCAAUGGUCAUGACUACCCACCUCCUUCAUUUGCUUUUGAGAUUUUCAAACAGGAGCAUCUGUGCUAUGCCCUGAGCUGCUGCUAAUGCCUAUAGGCAAUGUCCUUCAGAAUCUUCAUUAAAUCAUGCCUUUGACAUGUCAUCUACAGAAAAUGGGACAGCAGAUAAGUAGCAGUGUGGCUGACCUAUGACUAUUGAUUACUCAGCAACAUUACUUUCUUAUUUCCUUGUAUCCGUUCAUGGGCCUGUCCCCAUCUAUUGCAGACACAUCAGGUUUGACCUCUGAGUCAGCCCUUUUCCCUUAACCCCUCACCUGCAUGGUGUCUGUCAGCCCAGGCUGGCAGGGGGUGUCCAGGCAUAGAGCAGCCCAGUGUCCCUGUUGGCAGAAGGGUUUCAUGGUGAGCUCCCCAUGUCCAGGGGUGCAGAGCCAUCAGGUGGUCCCCUGCUGGGCAAUGCCUCCUCCCUUUCCUAGACUGGUACACAUGGCCAUUGAAUUGAGGGAAGCCACAAGAUGUGCUGUUUACACUACUUUGUAGGGGGAUUGUAAAUUUUCAGAUGUGAGGAAAAUGCUUUUGUUCUGGCCAAUAUAAUGCCAAAUAUAAGGCGGGUCUGGUGUGGCUCAAAAAGCCUAUUUCUGAACUGAUACAAACAAUAAAUACCCCUUGGUCAUUCAUAAUUUAUAAUUUUUGUUGUGAGCAAUCCUUAAAAAUUCUAGUCUCAUCACUUGACUGACAAAGUACUAAGAAGUGCCUCAACUUUUAAUCAGAGGUUUUUAACUUUCUGCCAACGUGAUCAAAAAUAAGUUCACUCCCAGAAAAAUAACCAGAAGAAAGAUAGCCAGAAAGAUAACCAUCAUCAUUCAGACUUCUAAAUAAUGCCCAAACUGGGACUUGAGCUCAAAGCAUUUUUAGCCCCUUUGUUGUCGAGGCACAUAUAAAAAUCUUACAGCUGCAGAAAGGAUGCAAUAAGUAGAGCAAACAUAGGUCAUUUCUAUAGUCCUGUUUUUGUCUUAGUUUGUAGAAGGUGGCACUAGCACACCUGACAGGCAAAAACCUUCAGCAGCAGUGAGAACAAGUGAGAACCACCUUCAAAGUUUGUGUGGGUCUCUGUCUUGGAAAACAAAAGUAAAAAGGCUCUAGUGUGAAGACAGGAGUCUUUCAGUAAGGUACCAUGUACAGAUGUAAAAUUUAUAUCACCUUUUCUAAUUUUUACACAUAAAAAGGUAACAAGCUUUUCUCUAUGGAUCUCCACCUUUACGAAUUUGUAAGAAUAGUAACACAGAUUUAACCCAGCUUGUAAAUGGUCUCUGCACCUCGGCUGUAAGAGGAGGGACAGUGACCCAGCUGGUGUCAUUUCUAGGGCUGGUCAGGCUGCCACUGCACUUGAAGUGAUCCUUGAUAAGAUUUCAAGUGAAAGGAGGGAAAGACAGAAAGAAAGAAGGCAAGGAAACCUCCCCCACUUCAAAUUCUUCAGGCUGACCUGUCAGCAUCUAUGUUACUACAUUUGGACUUGAAUUUCUUGCCAAGGUCAGAGCAGAUUAGAAGCUGCUUUCAUAUCUGACAGAAAUACUACUCCCCGGUGAACAAGGGGGUGUAGCUCCAGCAUCUUUAAGUGGAAGGAAAAGUUCAGUCUUCUCCAGUCAUCAGCGUGGCGUGCACAGGGGCCUCCCAAUAUUAACUCUGGUCAGCACCAGCGGGUCAUCUUCUCUCUGAAAUCCCACAUUCUCUCCAUCUCUGCUUGGAUCUGAGCUGCAAGCUUGAAAAGCAUGACUGAAAAUACCAGAAAAACAGUGAGAUUUGAAGGAUCAUAUGAUCAUCUCAUGAUCACCAGUAUUUCUUUCUUUUUAUGCUCUUUGUGGGAAAUAUAUACUACUUUUUUUCUCAAUCACCCUUAAAACACAACAGCAGAAUUAUGUGCAGCCAGGCAAGAGUUUGAUUUCAGGAGUGACCUCAGGACUCACAUUUCCUCUUGCCUGAAGCUCAAUUCACAUUUGUAGGGAACUUGCUCAGUGGGAGACAUGUUUUUCUUAAAUGUUCAACAGCUGCAUGGAAGCUAGGCAGCAGCAAAAACACAGGGGCAGGCAAAGGAUAAAAAUAAUGAUAGUGUUUUAUCCCCUUGUCUUUUAAAACUUUGGUUCUCUCAAAUAAAAUGUAAGGAAAUCUGUAAGUCCUGAUGUGAUGAGACCAAGGCACAGUGGAUGAGUGGCUUGCCAGAGGUCAUAAAGGAGUCUGAACAAAGAACAACAUGCAUCAUUCAGCCAUGUUUACAAAAAUGUCUAGCUCCACCAGAAUUAGUAAUUGCAUGCCAGAAUGCUAAAGGUUUUUUUUUUUAGUAGGAACUAAAGAACACAGGGCUGAGAAAACACAUGUGAAAAGGAAUUAUAAAGUCUUUAGAGCAGACUGGCAAAGUAAGAGGGUUUGCUGAGAAAAAUAUCUGGAGAAGAUUGCAGUUCCAGAAGAGGAAGGAGGCUGUAGUAGUCAGCAGGUGACCACAAAUCACUAAAGAUCAGUGUUAACCAGAGUUUUCCAUUUGGCCACUUGGCUUCCCAUAUGUCAUUUUACAUGUCACAGACUGAGCUUGCACCCCUUUUUUUCUCUGCCUCUUGCAGCAGUGAGAGGGGCUGCUCAGAAUAAUUCAGAAGAAAUAUUUCCCUGGUUUACUUUCCCUGUGUGGGAUGCCUCACUUGGCUGGAAAUCAGUCUUUGUGCGUCUCACAACCAGGAAGGAAGGGGAAAUUAAGAAAUUGAAGAUAAAGAGAAAGCAAAGAGGAAAGAGAAGCAAAGAAGUCAGGAGUGGCAGAAAUCAAGAGACACAGGGAUGAUGGUUAUGGACUCCAACGACAGCAAAGGGCAGACCUGUCCUCAGAUUUAAGUGGCAUCAUGCAGAAGCUCAGUAAAUCCCUUUGGCCACUCUAUGCAACAACCUGCAAACUGCAUAAUUAAGAGUAUGAGCAGUUAACAUGGACGCCACAUGAUAACAAAACUCCUAGGGGACUUUACAGAAGUUUACUCUGAAAAGCCAUCAGUCCUUAACUGAAUUCCUUCCCAGAAAAGCUGUGUGUGGUACUGGAGCAUUUCCAGAGGACUCUCAGCUGCAUUAGAGACAUGGUUUGUGCCUGGCAGAUGUUUCUUAGCAUGAGCUCCUCACAAAUGGGUGCACACAUAACAUGGGAGCCCAUCAGUGGGGCAGUGGGUCUCCUCAAGUCUAUUCCCUGUGUGGGCAGAGCUGUCCCUGUCACCUGGGAAGGUCCCCUCUCCACCAGCACCAGCACAGGUCCAAGUUUUCCUUCUAGCUGGAGGCUGGGAAUUUAAUGCCUCUUUUAUUCAUUAGCAAUCUCUUCUCAGUGCUAAAGUUACCCAACUAUAUUGAAAUAAGUUAUUAUUAAAACUUGUAAUUAGUCUUUUCAGGUCUGAAGUGCUGGGCACACCAGAAAAUCAGAACUGGUAAGCUGUGCUUCUCAUGGCAUUUUUAUUUUUGUACACCUUUUCAGUACCAAGCUGGGCUCUCACACCAUGCUUCAGGGGCUGAGCCCUGCAUUUAAAUGCUACCUGUGAGCCUCAGUGUGGCUGUGUGCCACCCAUGGAGCUAUAGACAGGGAUCAACCAGUGUGACAAAAAUUACAGGCUAAAGCCAACCCCUCUGUCAGCUUGUGACUGAGAAGUCCGGAGUGAUGAGAGCAGAGGCAGUGUCUGAUUGGAUCAGACUGAAGUCUCUUCAAGUCCACAGUGUGACAUUGAUGCUGUUCAAUACCAGAUUACUACAGUAGAAAAGAUCUCUUAAAGAAUGGUUAUGAAAUUGCUUUCUAUUUCAUAUGGUGCAGUUUUGCUAAGCUCUGUUGUGUAGUGGAUGACAGAAUCACUAGGUUGCUUUUUUUUAUCUCCCUUACUGUGUAUUUUAAACUUGAUUUCCAAAAACAAUAAAUAUAUUUGGAAACUA